UGCAUCGAACUGCUUCCCUCACUUUAGAUCAGUUGUUGCUCCACGAGAUAAACGUUGGACGCAAGACAUGGGUUCCUGUGUUGCAUACCUAUUGCGACGGAAAUGUGUGCCUUCGAUCGUCCCUUCCAUCACGGCGUCCUCACGGAUGCUCGGUUGGACCGGAUAGUGGGGCUCGUGUUCCACGAACGUCGUCUCAUUCGACCGUUCGGAUGGACCACGGGUGCCCACUCGUUCUCUCGGAUGCGGAAAUCUCUUGAUGGGCGUGGGGUCAUUGGCCCUUGGUCCCUAAUCGUUAAGCGUUUAUCGCUUCACCGGAAUGACGAUCUCGCCUUGUCCUUGACCACGCGAAGCCCUCGGGCAUCGCGACGGAUCAUGCUCGGCGGACGUCGUGAAGGAAUGC
rnacentral:misc_RNA from 1 species